rnacentral:rRNA from 1 species
GACGAACGCUGGCGGCGUGCUUAACACAUGCAAGUCGAACGGAAAGGCCCCUUUGGGGGUACUCGAGUGUCGAACGGGUGAGUAACACGUGAGUAACCUGCCCUUGACUUCGGGAUAACUUCAGGAAACUGGGGCUAAUACCGGAUAGGAAUCCUUGCUGCAUGGUGGGGGUUGGAAAGCUACGGCGGUUUUGGAUGGACUCGCGGCGUAUCGGCUUGUUGGUGGGGUAGUGGCUUACCGAGGCUUUGACGGGUAGCCGGCCUGAGAGGGCGACCGGCCACCUUGGGUCUGAGGGGCGGCCCCGACUCCUACGGGUGGCAGCAGUGCGGAAUACUGCACGAUGGGCGGCGCCCUGAUGCAGCAACGCCGCGUGCGGGAUGACGGCCUUCGGGUUGUAGACCGCUUUCAGAAGGGGCGAAGCUUGUCGUGACGGUACCUGCAGAAGAAGCACCGGCUAACUACGUG